rnacentral:rRNA from 1 species
GUCUUUUUGAUAAAUAAUUUAAAGUCUAAUCUGCCCCCUGAAAUUAUUUUAAAGGGCUGCGGUAUCCUAACCGUACAAAGGUAGCAUAAUAAUUAGGUUUUUAAUUGAAAUCUUGAAUGAAUGAUUGGACGAGAUAUGAGCUGUUUUAAAAUAUAAAUUUGAAUUUAAUUUUUUAGUUAAAAAGCUAAAAUAUUUUUAAAAGACGAGAAGACCCUAUAAAUCUUUAUAAUUUAUUUAUUUUAAUUAAUUAUUUUAAUAAAAUUAAUUUAAAUAAUAAAAUUAUUUUAUUGGGGUGAUAUAAAAAUUUUUUAAACUUUUUAUAAUUAUAACACUAUAAUUAAAGAUUUAUAAAAUAUAUGAUCUAUUAAUAAUAAUUAAAAGAAAAAGAUACUUUAGGGAUAACAGCGUAAUUUUAAUAUUAAGUUCAUAUUAUUAUUAAAGAUUGCGACCUCGAUGUUGGAUUAAAAUUUAAUUUAAAUGCAAAAGUUUAAAAAUUAAGUCUGUUCGACUUUUAAAAUUUU